rnacentral:Y_RNA from 1 species
GGCUGGUCCGAAGGUAGUGAGUUAUCUCACUUGAUUGUUCACAGUCAGUUACAGAUUGAACUCCUAGUUCUACUGCUUCCCCCCCUCCUCACUACUGCACUUGACUAGUCUUAA